GCAGAGCGGCCCCCCCAGCCCCGGACCCCCCACACCCGCCACGCCGGCCCCCAGCGAGCGCGGGGACGGGCCGGGGCCACCCCCGGACAGGGACGACGGGGACACCCGGGACGAGAAGGAGCCCAAGGGCCCCGAGAAGAUGGAGACAGACCCCCCCGUGCCCGAGGUGCCCCCGUCCCCGGGCGAUGGCAGCGAGGCCGAGGGGCCCAGGAAGGGGGAGGAGGAGGAGGGGGGGCCCGGCCACAGAGACCCCGAGGCCGAAGGGCCCCCGGCCCGUGAGGAGAGACCAGGU